GGUUGUGCAUAUCUGUUUGUUUUUGUGUAAGUUAAGAGGUAUAUUAGGAAAAAUUAACAUAUUUUCAUCCCAUAACUGAUAUUUACUAACAACCAAAUAAAAAAGACUAUUGGCUAUUGUAGGAAUUAUGCUGAUUUUAGGGUUUAACUAAGUACUUGACAAAUUAUCUGUUUAAUGCCCUUUACUUCUGUUGUCCUUCACAAUCCUAACACCUGCUCUUCUCUUUUCCUAACCUAUCUGUAUCUCAUUUAUAGCUUCUCCUUCCAAAUCCAUAAACUCACAAUAUCUUUUUGGUAUUGAGUCACCAAUACUUGACUCUAGAUUGCUACACAAUGAAGGCUUAUUUAUUAAUUAUCUUCAAACCUGUCAAACUCUGCUUAAUAGUUUUUCAUAUUUUAACUCAUUCAGAUUUAAGGGACCUAUAUGAUGUGGACAUUGGUUUUGUUGCGUUUGCAGAGGGAAAUUGAAAUAUAGUAAACACCAAAAGCUUGUAUAGCUUUCAAGCUUUUCAAGUUUUCAUUUAGUUUGAAAUGUCUUAUAGAUAAUAAAUUAAAUCUAAAUAGUAUCUGAAAGUAUUUCUAAUUUAAUGGAUUUCUGACAUGGAAUAUGCUCGUAUAAAAUAUCGACUGGUGUUUAUACAAUAUUAACAAACUUUUAUUCUAUCAAUAUAUUACCUGAGGAGUAAUUAAAUAAACUUAUAAACCUAAAAUAUGAAAUAUUUUCACAAAGUUAUAGAAAUCCUGUAAGUUGAAGUUUUAACUCAUUUUAUGUAGCAGAGAAAUAAAGUUAAAGUACUAAUUAUGAUACUUUAUUCUUCCACAAAUUAUUAACAUUUUUAUGGACUUUUUGAUAAAUUUUAAGUCAUAUUGUUCUGUAUAUGUAAUGCACAUGCAUACAAAUGUAUGUAGUAUAUGUAAUAUGUAUACAAUAUACAAUGGUAUUAGAAGAUAUAGGCAUAUAUUCGGCUCUAUUUAAUUAUGUUUGGUUUUUGUUAUUGUUAUUUUUGAAGUUGUUGUUCUUAGUGAUGGUGGUGGUGGUGGGUUUUUGAGACAAGUUUUCUUCAUGUGGGUCUGACUGUGCUGGAACUUACUCUGUCAACCAGACUGGCCUAGAACUGAGAUAUUCAUCUGCCUUUGCCUCCCCAGUGUUAAGGCAUGUGGCACCACUUUCCCAGCAUGAGGUUAUGUUUGUAUAAAGAGGUUCUUGGUAAAUAGCAUGCUCACAAACACAACUCAGAAGAACAGCCACUUGAUUAUUUCCAUAUAGUAAUGGAUGGAUCACAUGGCUCUGCUGAUGUGAAUCUUGGUAGACACAUCUUGAGUAGUUUCAUGUAUCUAUGGUGAAUUAGAAUGUUAGCUUAAGAAACAAGUUUCUGGAAUAUCUUCAGCCAAAGCAUGUAGAGAGGUUUUCUACAUACUUUUCCUAAUUAUCAAAAAUUUAUCAGGGGCUUAUUCUCAUGGUACUGAAAUAUAAGAAAGACAGCCACAUCUAAUAAAAAUGGAUGGUAGAUUCUAGACCCCAAGACACUUCACAACUAAGACCAAUGGAACAUUCUCAAAGAUGUAAGUCAGAUGUUAGAUCCAGGCAGGUGGUACUGGAGCAGUGUCUCCU
rnacentral:lncRNA from 1 species